rnacentral:lncRNA from 1 species
ACCAGUUUUCAUUAAGAACAUUAUGAAGAAGAUGGUCAAACCCUGCAUUAAAACAUCUCAGAAAGAUGCCAUACUUCACACAGACACACAGACACACACAAACACAAACACAAACUGCAGCAAGAGGAUACCAAUCCAAAGGCUUCCUUCCCAUACGAGAUGUCUCACAUGCUGACAUAGAGAUCUCAAGGACCAAAGAGUCUCCUCAUUCCUGCCUUCUGCUCUGCAUUAACCCUUGUUGGGAACCUGAUGUCAAACUUGAUUUUCAAAAUCCCUCUCUUUGUUGGGUCGCCGAGGAUCGGCAUCCCUUCAUUCGGGACAAACUUCUGAUAGUUGGGAUGGAUCACAUCAUUGAUCGGAAGGGUUAAAUUCCUGCCAUCUAAGGUAAUAAGAUGGACAGUGUAGCCUGUAAAGGCUUCAGUUACGGAAAUCCUUCGAGUGACGAUCAAGUCAUUUCCAUCACGAGUAAACUCAGAGUGGGGUUUUUCAUCAACAAUGAAGACAACAUCAGCAGGUGUUAUAUUUGGUCUUUGGUUCCCUUUCUCUUCGAAAGUGAUCUUCGUGCCUUUCUUCCAACCAGGCUUUGUGUCAAUGGUUAGAAUCUCCUCUAUUUUCCUGGUCAAGCUGCGCUCCAUCCCACAAAAAAAGAAAGAGCACAAGAAACACCAUUAACAAAGCUCUAGGACCUUUCAGAAGACUGUAAAAUGAUGAAAAAUAACUAUCUCACGCAAAUCUUUGACAACAGGAAAGCAUAUCAAGUCCAGGACCAGUGAUCAGAGUCAACAUGUUUGAUCAAAACUACAGAGCAGUUGACCAUAAAACAGGACCAGGUGACCAUAAAGCAGGACCAAAGAGGUGAUGUUUAGGACACUUACCCCCUUCGAUCAGCUACUUCUCUAGUUAUUUUUACCCUCUUGGUAGCCCCUUGAUAAAGCUCUUCAAGACUACAAGGCAGGGUGUGCUUAAUUGCAGGAUCUUUUCCAGGAGCACUAACCACGAAGCUUUGCUCAAAGGAUCUAAAGAUAUCAUUAUCAUCGCCAUUUAUGUUACUGGAGAACCCUGCUCCUCUCCUGUUUUGAUUUGGGCUAUUAGACCUCAAAAAUUCAGCAUAGAUAGCAUCAUUUAUUGCCCGAUACUGACUAUUCAUCUCGUUGAUAGAAGGUGGAUGAAAGAAAGGCAAAGAGAAUUGUUCUAGCUCAGUGUAACGCAACUGCUCUUAAAGGAAAAGGAAAAGUAAUUGUCCUACGUACCUCUCAUACUUUAAAGUGGUGGAGAAAUUGUUGGAGGACGGUGAUUGGCUAGGCACAACAUAAAGCUUAAGUUGUUAUGAUUUGCAUAGGAGACACAAACUACAACACUUACCUUUUUUUCUUCAAUUAAUUUAUUUAAUUAAAAGAUUAAGUUGGUAAAUUUCAGACUCGCCUUUGUUCUUAUUAGUAAAACUCUGAUAUCAUUAAUUAUUUUUGCAGUAAUCUUUCAUGAUUUAGAAUAUUCUCUCGUACAGAUUUCCCAAUAAUAAUAAUAACAGAGUUGAUGGUUUGGACAUAUAAUAAAAGGUUCAUUUGCGUGUCUCUCAUUGAUAAUUGGUGGCCAUGUGACGUGGAAGAAAACAUUGAAAAGGAUAGGUACGUGUGGAUGCCUCGUUUGCUUGUCCCUUGAGAGUCGUUGAAUUGACCCAUGACAUCAGACCGAGUUUGGUAUAAAUAAAUAAUUGUGUCUUGAUUUAUCAAAUUUAAUUUGAUUUGUCUUUUGAAUUCAUUUUUUUUAAUUUUCUUUUAUAUUGAUCAUAUUGUAUAGCUUAUUGAUCAUGUUAAAAAAACUUAGUAUAUAAUACUGCAUAUAAGCCUUCAUAAUAAUAAUAAUAAUAACAACAAUAAUAAUGAUGAAAAUAUUCCGUGGUAAUAAUAAUAAUAAAAAUAAAUAAAUAAAGAAGAGGAAGGUUAGUUUUAGGAGUUAAUUGGAAUAAAAAAUUGAAACGGGGUUAAAUUAUAAUGUUUAGAUUCUUAAGGAUUAAGGAAAGAGCUAAGGGAGAAAUAAAAGAUUUAAUGGGGGCUAAAAUAGGAUUACAAAUUAGUCAACCUUGCUUUUAUUUGCGAGGGAUGCCGACGGCAGCUAUUAGAAGAAGAGGCUAGUUUACGAAGGGGAGAACGUAAUUUUUGUCACUGUGAUUUUAAAAAGUAAAUUUAGGGAAAAUAUUUUUAAUUAUAAUUAGUUGGAUUUAGAUACGUAUUUGAUAAAAACUGCGAUUAAAAUCUAUGUGUAGCAAAAAACAUGUAUAAAAUAUUUGGAUAAAAUGUUUAGGCUUUUUUACAAACAGUAAAAAAAAAAUUAGUAAAGAAUAUUUACGAAACUUAGUUAAAAAAACAUGUUAAAACUGAUACAUAAACCUGCGUUUUGAACUUAAUUUUUUAAUAAGUUUCGCAGUAUAAAACUCAGUUCUCUUAAUACUAAACAAGUCACCGCUAACUGUUAACGUGAAAGCUAUAAAAAAAACAAACAAAGUCUUAAACCUCGAAUUAAGAGGGGUUGGAGAGAAAGAAAGUGAAGGUAACGAGAGAAAAACAAAGGAAGAAGGAGAGAGCAAGGAAAUUAUGGUGGCUUGUGAUGAAGGUGGCCGGCCAAACUAAGAAAAAAAUUGGGGAGUUCUUGAAAUUGAAUCGGUGAUGUAAACAGUAUUUUGAUUUGAGUUAUGAUGGUAUAAGUUUGUGGUGCUAUCUUGAUAAAUUGUGAGAAUUUUAUAAGUCAUUGUUUUGUGAAUAAGAUGAUUGAAUAAGUUAUGAAAGUCUUUGAUAGCUAGUAAUUGCUGGAACAUCACACACGAUUGCUUUUAUAUUUUAACACAUUGAAUUAAUAAGCCGCGUAAUAGAAUAGUAUAAUUAUAUCUAAAAAUUUUAUUUAAUAUUUUAAAUUUUUAAAUUGAAUUAAUUAUUUGAUAUGAUAUUUAAUAUAAAUUUAUAUAAAUUUCAAGUUUGAAAAACUUACUGCCCCGUUUGUUUGCUGGAAAGUAGUUUCCUUUUGAAAAGUGAAUUCCGGGAAAGUAUUUUCCGAUGUUUGGUAGUGUAAUAGAAAAUAAGUUGGAAAACGCUUUCCAGUGUUUGGUUAUGUCAUGGAAAAUGAGCUGGAAAAUAACUUAUUAAUGUUUUAUUUUUCUCAAGUUUAUUAAAAUAAUGAGGAACAAAUCUUACAAAUUAAAAAGUUGAAUGAGAAUGAAAUUGAAAAAAAAAUAUAAUUUCAUAAAUUAUCUCAAAUAAAAUAAAUAAUAAUCAAAAUAAUAGAGAUCAAAUCUAAAAAAUUAAAAAAAAUUAAAGGUGAAGAAAUUAUAAUAAUAAUAAUUAACAUUUCAUAAAUUAUUUCAAAUAAAAUAAGUAACAAUUAAAAGAAUGAUGAUCAAAUUUGAUAGAUAAAAAAUUUCAAUAAAAAAAUGAUAAGGAAAAAGCAAAUAGCAAUUAUAAAAAUAAGGACCAAAAUUAAUAUAAAAAUUAAAUUUUAAGAGAUGGAAUUGAAAAAUAAAUAUUCAAAACAAAUUAUAUAUAGCAAUCAAAAGUUUGAGGAUCAAAUUUGAUAUAAUCAGCAAAUAAUGACAUUUCUAAAUUUUUCACAACUUCCGGAAAGUGUUUUCCGCCCAAAUUUUCCAGAAAAACACUUUCCUGAAAACCAAGCCAAAUUUUCCUUUGACUGGAAAGUGUUUUCCGUUGACCAACUUUUCUAAUGACAAACAAACAUAAGAAAAUUUGAAAAAUGGUUUUCCAGAAAUCACUUUCCAGAAAACAAACCUAGCCUUAAGAAGAUGCGUUAAUAAAUAAUAUAAUAUCUUAGUUUUAUUUCAUUAUUUGACAAAUAGUGAUGGUUUGGGAUGGGAAGCAGGAAAUUAAUCCUGGAAGGUGUCGUUUACAGGGAAGUGACUCACGUUUCAGGAUAUGGCCGGAGGGAAUUGCUCUCCAAGCUCGACCUUUUGAACUGAAGAAAGGAGGAAUUCAACCACCAAUCAAGGGGAAGCAUUUUCCAUUGACACCAUAUAUAAUUAAGAAGUUGGCCAAACCCUACAUUAAACAUCUCAGAAAGAUUUCAUACUUCACAUAUAUAUAUAUAACACAACUUAAAAGUCUGAAACUGUCAAAUACCACUGCAAUUUAUCACAAACUGCGUCAAGAGGAUACCAAUCCAAAGGCUUCCUUCACAUAGGAUAUGUCUGGCAUGCUGAUAUAGAGAUCUCAAGCACCAAAGAGUCUCCUGAUUCCUGCCUUCUGCUCUGCAUUAACCCUUGUUGGGAACCUGAUAUCAAACUUGAUUUUCAAAAUCCCUCUCUUUGUUGGGUCGCCGAGGAUCGGCAUCCCUUCAUUCGGGACAACCUUCUGAUAGUUGGGAUGGAUCACAUCAUUGAUCGGAAGGGUUAAAUUCCUGCCAUCCAAGGUUUUAAGAUGGACAGUGUAGCCUGUAAAGGCUUCGGUUACAGAAAUCCUUCGAGUGACGAUCAAGUCAUUUCCAUCACGAGUAAACUCAGAGUGGGGUUUUUCAUCAACAAUGAAGACAACAUCAGCAGGUGUUACAUUUGGUCUUUUGUUCCCUUUCUCUUCGAAAGUGAUCUUCGUGCCUUUCUUCCAACCAGGCUUUGUGUCAAUGGUUAGAAUCUCCUCUAUUUUCCUGGUGAUCAAGCUGCGCUCCAUCCCACAAAAACGAAAGAGCACAAGAAACACCAUUAACAAAGCUCUUGGACCUUUCAGUCGACUGUAAAAUGAUUAAAAAAAAAAAAACUAUCUCACACAAAUCUUUGACAACCAGAAAGCAUAUCAAGCCCAGGACCAGUUGAUCAGAGUCAACAUGUUUGAUCAAAACUACAUAAUGGUAGUUGACCAUAAAACAGGACAAAAAUGGUGAUGUUUAGGACACUUACCCACUUCGACCAGCUACUUGUCUAGUUAUUUUUACCCUCUUGGUAGCCCCUUGAUAAAGCUCUUCAAGACUACAAGGCAGGGUGUGCAUAAUUGGAGGAUCUUUAGCACUAACCCCGAAACGUUGUGCAAAAGAUCUAACGAUAUCAUCAUCAUCAUUCAUCACCAUAUACGUUAUUGGUGAAGAUUGUUCCACUCCAGUUUUGAUUUGGGCUACUAUCAGUGGAGGAGAACAUCGUUCCUCUCCAGUUUUUAUCUGGGCUAUUAUUAGUGGAAAACAUUUUUCCGUGAUAGAAGUUUGAUGAGAGAGGAAGGCAAAGAGAGUUCUUGCAGCUCAGUGUCACGCAACAGCUCUCCUUCAAGGAAAAGUAACUGUCCUAUGCUUUUAGUUGUGGGAAAAUUGAAGGACAGUGAAUGUCUUACAAAUAAAGGCAUACCUUCAAGCCGAAGUUGUUGGACUCUGUGGAAAUUAAGCUGUGAAAUGAAUUUUAUACCAUUCUCCCUCACAAUUUAUGCUCAACUUUUUCUUCAAUUAAUUUAUUUAAUUAGAGGAUUAAUUAAGAGGGUAAGAUUAAUUAGACUCCUCGUCGUUUUUAUUAGUAAAAUCUUGAUAUGAUGUUAAAAAUAUCUUAACUUAAAAUCCAGAGUGUAGAAUAAAAAUUCUAGAAUGAUUUUAAAGAUUUACGCAUAAAGAUUAGAAAGUAAAAGGACUGGAUUAAGAAAAUUUAAAGAUUAAAGGGUGAAAUGUACGAUUAACCAGGAGUUUCACUUUUGGGAAAUUGUAAGGAACACACAUAAACCCCAAAACUACAGUUUCAAGUACCAAAAAAAAAGCUAUUUGAGAUUAUUAUGCACAAAACGGAUAGCCAACUUUAAUAACACUAAACCUAUUAAAUUAUAAAUAAAAUAUUAUAAAGAUAGAUAAUCCUGAUAAUGUUAUAAUGAAACCCAAUUAGGUUAGAAAUCCUAGCAUUGCAGGCAACAUGAGUGCAUUUUAUAUUUUUAUCAGUGCCUUGAUUUUCUGCUCAAAUCCUGUGUGCUUUGAUGCUUGAUAUGGCAUGUUUUUUUGUAUUUUUUUUAUUUUAAAAACACAUAAAUUUACUUAAAACUAUUCUGAAAACAUAUUUAUUUUAUGUUUUUGUCUUAAUGUUUUUAAUCAACACGUUUUUAUCUCUUUUAUAUCUAUUUUUUUUUAUAUCUUGAAACACUAUCCACAACCUGACAGAUGAUAGUGUGAUUUCUUGUUUUUUUUCCCUGCUUGCAAUGAAUUCAUUGUCGGAAUACUUUUAUUAGUUGUUUUAAGAUUGGCAUAUAUUACAACAACAGCUGCUGUAGUUCUAAGGGUCAAGAAAUUCAAUGUAUCCAUCUCAUACAUAUACUGAAGAACACAUCAACGUGGACUUGGAUGGGGAUGGAACCAGGGAGAGAGAUGGAGAGCAAAAUGGGGAUCCAGAUUAUGGCUCCAAAUCUUCUUUCUCAGAUUUCAGUGACUAGAGAAAUAACCUUAUAGUUUUUAGAGUAUUGUUGAUGCAUGCGAAAUACUCAAUUUCUCAAUUUAACCUCCUCCGAGCUCGGGUUACAGAAGAAGGAGAAGGAACCGAGAGGAAGGUAUAGGCAACAACAGGUUUUAUUACAGGGCAGCUCAUGUUUCUUACAUCGUAUGUCCUUUUACUGCACUACUAUGUAAUUGAAGUUCAUGUAUUUAUAUAGGAAUCAGUGCCCGUGCGAAGCUAUAUAUCACCUUCACUGUAAUGGAGAUCAAUCAAGAUGUCAAUGAACUAGUACUUUGGGGUGCUUUGCUGUUCUGUUAAUUUAUGGUGAUGUGAUGAUGGUGGAGGAAGAGCAGUAAUAUUUGGGGGCUUGUGGUGUUUAGGAUUUGGGUUAAUGCUAAAUUUGCACCUCUAUUCUUUAUUGUACCUUGCUUUGUGUUGCUGUUAAAUCCAUCCUUAUACUUUUAAUCUUUCUCUAGUUUGGUCCUUUUGCUUAUGGUUGGGUCAAUACCCUUGAAUCGACUUGAUUAUCUUUUGUUGUAUUCAGGACUAAGUUACUAAAUUCAGCUUGGACCGGUUUAAAUAUAGAAGAAUCCAAAAUAAAAAUAUUUUGAAGAAUUUUUUAAAAUCAAAUCAGAUUUUAACAUGAUUAUGAGUUGAUUUAUUGGAUCGAUCAAGUCAAAUCAAAUCAAUUUUAAAAUAAUUUAUUUUUUAAAUUAGAUCUAAACUAAAAAUUAGGUCAGCUUAAUUGACUCAUUAGAUCAAUCAGUUUAAUAAUUACAAUUUAAGAGUAUAUAGAUUUUUUAAUUAUUUUUUCUCUCAUGUAGUCUAAAUUUCAAUAGAUCAUACAAUCAAUUAUUUUUUAAUCGACUCAGAUAUUCAAUAUCAUAAAAAAAUUAUAUAAAUUAUAUAUUUUUGAAUCUCAUCCAUCGGCACAAGUUUUUAUCAUGAUAUGAGAAAUUAAAUGAAGUAAAUGCUCUUUCAAAUUGUACCUUUUACUGUCAAGAAAGGAAAGAUUCAACAACAAUCAAGGGAAACCAGUUUUCAUUAAGAACGUUAUGAAGAAGAUGGUCAAACCCUGCAUUCAACAUCGAUCUCAGAAAGAUGCCAUACUUCACUCACACACACAGACACAGACACACACACAAACUGCAGCAAGAGGAUACCAAUCCAAAGGCUUCCUUCCCAUAGGAGAUUUCUCACAUGCUGAUAUUGAGAUCUCAAGGACCAAAGAGUCUCCUCAUUCCUGCCUUCUGUAGUGCAUUAAUCCUUGUUGGGAACCUGAUAUCGAACUUGAUUUUCAAAACCCCUCUCUUUGAUGGAUCGCCGAGGAUGGGCAUCCCUUCAUUCGGGACAACCUUCUGAUAGUUGGGAUGGAUCACAUCAUUGAUCGGAAGGGUUAAAUUCCUGCCAUCUAAGGUAAUAAUACGGCCAGUGUAGCCUGUAAAGGCUUCAGUUACAGAAAUCCUUCGAGUGACGAUCAAGUCAUUUCCAUCACGAGUAAACUCAGAGUGGGGUUUUUCAUCAACAAUGAAGACAACAUCAGCAGGUGUUAUAUUUGGUCUUUCGUUCCCUUUCUCUUCGAAAGUGAUCUGCGUGCCUUUCUUCCAACCAGGCUUUGUGUCAAUGGUUAGAAUCUCCUCUGUUUCCCUGGUCAAGCUGCGCUCCAUCCCACAAAAAAGAAAGAGCACAAGAAACACCAUUAACAAAGCUCUUGGACCUUUCAGAAGACUGUAAAAUGAUGAAAAAUAACUAUCUCACAUAAAUCUUUGACAACAAGAAAGCAUAUCAAGCCCAGGACCAGUUGAUCAGAGUCAACAUGUUUGAUCAAAACUACAGAAUGGCAGUUGAACUUAAAACGGGACCGAAAAGGUGAUGUUUAGGACACUUACCCUCUUCGAUCAGCUACUUGUCUAGUUAUUUUUACCCUCUUGGUAGCCCCUUGAUAAAGCUCUUCAAGACUACAAGACAGGGUGUGCUUAAUUGCAGGAUCUUUUCCAGGAGCACUAACCACGACACUUUCUUCAAAAGAUCUAACGAUACCAUCACCCUGUAUGUUAAUGGAGAGCUCUGUUCCUCUCGUGUUUUGAUUUGGGCUAUUAAACCCGAAAGAUUCAGCAAAGAUAGCAUCAACUGCUGCCCUACUAUGACUAGUCAUGUCGUUGAUAGAAGGUGGAUGAAAGGAAAGCAAAGAGAACUGUUCUAGCCCAGUGUAAUGCAACUGCUCUACUUAUAGGAAAAGUUAAUUUCCUACGUAGCUAGCAUACUUCAAGUUGUGGAAAAAUUGAAGCACAGUGAUUAGCUUACAAAUGAAGAAAACUUAAUGGCUAAGCUGUUAAAAAAAUUUAGAAAAUACAGAAGGUCGCUAACAUUAAAUAUAUACUUUGUUUUAUAUUUGUUUUUUAAUUUUUUUUUAAUUUUAAUUUUAGUUAUUGUUAAUAUUUUUAUUAAGAUAUAUAAUUUUAAAUUUAUUUAAUUAUAUAUUCGAAUAGGCUUUUUAAUUUACAUUUUAUCUUUUUUUUAUGUAUAAAAAUACAAUGAAAAAACUUUGCUAUACAAUUUUUUAUAUAUAUAUAUAAUUGCACGGAUAUAAUAGAUAGUAACCACUAUGUUCCGUUAUUUGAUGUUGGUGUUGCACUAUUUUCCAUAUUUUUGGAGAAUAAUUUCAUGAAAAGGUGUGACUGUGAAUGAAUUACAAGGCAAAACACAGAAUUCUAUGGGGGCGAUGAUAAAUAUUUGUGCACUGGAAUGUCAGGAAUAUAAAUGCUCUUUACUUCUUUCUUUAGGUUGAGAAAAGGGUAGUUUUUGUUUGUCAUUACGCUAUUUUUUAUAGUUAUGGAUUAAAAAAAAGUAUAUUUUUAAAAAAAUAUAUUUUUUAUUAUAAUUUAAAAAACAUAUGUUUUAAAAAAAUACAUGUUUAAUUAAAAUUAUUAGUGAGAUAAAUUUUUAUAUGAAAAAUAUAUAUUAAUAAAUAAAGACAGUGUUUGAUAUUAUGUUAACGAUUAUUUUUUAAAGUAUUUUUCGCUUGAAAAUACAUCAAAAUAAUAUUUUUUAUUUUUUAAAAUUUAUUUUUAACACCAGCAUAUCAAAACUAGAAACACAAAAAAAAAAAAAAUUAAAAAAAAAGAGUCAUUGCCGCAUAAGCAAAUUGCUUCGAAAAACCAGUUAUUUUAUUUUCUAUAUAACUAAGGUUUGAAAUGCAGUUAUGAAUGGAGCCCAGUAUGAAAUACAGAAAUUAUAUAGCUAGCUAAAUGGUUUUUUCUACGUGGUUAAGCAAAAAAAAAGCUAUUAUAAUAUCAAAUGGUUUCUAAAUGUGUAUUUGAUAUUGUAAUGCAAGAUACUUUUUAAAAGUGUUUUUUACUUGAAAAUACAUUAAUUUUUAUUUUAUUUUUAGCAUUAACUCAUCAAUAUAAUCAGAAAAUAUCAAAAAAAUCAAUUUAAUAUUUUUUUCAAAUCAAACAUACUUUUAAAACACACUAAAAUGUAGCUUCAAGCACAAAAACAAGCAGACAAUAAGUGCUUGUUUGAGAUUGUGAUAAAAAUUGCGUUUCAAAAUGUUUUUCGUUUACAAAUACAUCAAAAUAAUAUUUUCUUUUAAUUUUUGAUAUUAAUACAUCAAAACAAUAAAAAAAAAUAUCAAAAAAUAAUAACAAUUCAACCACAACAGACGAAAUAAGCACUAAGUUGUGUAACCUAAUUUUAUGUUACUUUGGACUGAAGGAAGUAACAGUGAAUCAACGGAACAUUUAGUCACUAAAUACAUGCUAACAAAAGCAAAUAAGCUACGUCUGCUUGAUCUCCAAAAAGUAAAAGCAAUUACUGAUCUAGAUGAUACUAUACUGAUCAUUGAUGAUUUUAUUAAGCUCGAUGUGCUGAAAACUGUCACGUUAUUCUAUAAGUUGAUUCUGAUGAAUAAAAUACUUUAAUUUGAAGAAAAUAUACGUUGGUUGGAUUCCACUACUCCCAAAACAAGGUGGUUGUGUGGAUUUGGUUUUCAUGGGUGAGAUUCUGCAUCUUACAGAAUCACCAUGGUUUUGUAAUAGCACGUUUCUUGUUCUUGAAAGGGGAAAUAAAGAAAAAAGAAUGGUUAGCACAGCUGAUUUUAAUCAUGUCGUCUUCUUGUAGGAAUCCACUCAUAUAUAUUCACCAUCUUUGCAUAAAGUUGAUGGCACACUGUUCUGAACUAAAGAGAAAGAAAACAAGGAUGCACCCCAAAUCAACAAGAGCUAAUUUUAAUUGAAAUUGUAACUGAUAAAUUCUUCAGUACACCUUUAAGCACAUCGAUGUAUUUAGAAAGAUGGCAUUCUUGCUCUGAAACUGAAAACUAAUAAAAACUGGGAGCGUAUAUAACAAGUUCUGUAUCAAAAAGAACCAAUCUAAAUACUACGUUCUAUGUAAUUUGUAUUUACAAAACUGCUCCAUUUCUAUGGAGAUGUGUUGUGCAUUAAAUAUUGGCAUUGAUGUUCUCAGCCCAAGAGUUUUUUGAUUCCUGCCUUCUGCUCUGCAGUUAACCUUGUUGGAAACUUGAUGUUGAACUUGAUCCUCAGAUUUCCUCUCUUUGUUGGGUCCUUUUGGAUUGGCAUCCCUUCCCUUGGGACAACCUCCUCAUAGUUUGGAUCAAUCACGGUGUUGAUCGGAAUGGUCAAAUUCCUUCCAUCUAAGGUGGUGAGAUGGACAGUGUAACCUGUCAAGGCUUCAGCUAAGGGAAUCUUCUGUGUGACAAUCAAGUCGUUUCCAUCACGAGUGAACACAGGGUGAGGUUUUUCAACUUGCAAUAUCUUGUAGUAAUCCACUCCCAUUGCGUUGCUGCUGCCUCCUCCUCCUCCUCCUCCUCCUCCUCUCUUUCUCUUCUUCACUUUGCUUAUCUUGGUUUUUCUACUUCAAAAAAAUCCUGGGGUGCUUUGCUCGCUCGCUUUUGUUAUGUUAAUUUACGGUAAUGUGAUGAUGGUGGAGGUAGAGUAGUAAUAUUUGGGGGUUUGUGGUGUUUAGGAUUUGGGUUAAUGCUAAAAAUUUGCACCUCUAUUCUUUAUUGUAACUUGCUUUGUGUUGCUGUUAAAUCCAUCCUUAUACUUUUAAUCUUUCUCUAGUUUGGUCCUUUUGCUUAUGGUUGGGUCAAUACCCUUGAAUCGAAUUGAUUAUAUUUUGUUGUAUUUAGGGCCAAGUUACUAAAUUCAGCUUUGCCUAGGGCUAAGUGACAGAUUGAGUAUGUCAAUUUGAUCAAUUUAAAACAAAGUUUUUUUUAAAGAUUUUUUUUAAAUCAAACCAGAUUUUAAUUAGAGUUAAUCUAUUAAGAGUAUGUUUGGUAUUGCGGUUGCUGUUAUGGUUGUGGUUUUAAAAAAGUUGUUUUAUAAAAAGUACUUUUAAUUGAGGUUGGUUUUGAAAAAUAUAUGUUUGGUUAAAACUGUAGUUGAAAUUGAGGUUGGACAAAAAAUAGUUUAAUGUGUUUGCUUAAAAAAAUGCUUUUCAAAUUGAGGUUAUAAAAUAAUUAAAAAAUAUUUUUAAUUUAAAUAUUGUAGAUUUAACUACUAUUAUUAUAUAAUGAAAUAAAUAAUAUUGAUAUCAAAAUUUGUUUAUUAUUCCAUUAAACUAUAUGCAACGUCAUCACAUAUGAAAUCUAUCCAACAAUAACUAUAUUUUUCAUGGUUUCUUAAGCACGCAACAACAAAAACUAAAUUUUUUGUUACGUUAUCAAGUGAUAUCCUUCUAAUUUUGUGAAUAAAACACAAUUAAAAUAAAAAUAAAAACUGAAUUUUUUUUAACUGGGUCGGACCCGGCAAGAACAUUACUGGAAUUGCGAUCAAAUUCCACAAAUGCUACGUCAUCAUGCGAUAUCCUUCUAAUUUAUGUAGUGUUAUUAAAUAAUAUUAAAUACUAGUUUUUCGAGUAAAACUCAAUUUUUUUUAAAAAAAUUACAAUUUCAUUACGUACAAAAUUCAUUUGACAAGAACUAUAGUUUUCAUGAUUUUUUGAGCGUGCAAUAUAAUUAGAUAAAAUAUUAUCAGGAAUAAAAUUGAAAUUACAGUACGAGUAAAUUUAAUUCACCUUAAACUAAUUUUUUAAAAAAACAAAAAAAAAUUGUUGUUCACAUUCACGUGAAUAAUUCGAGUGAAAUUAAUUAACUAUACUGGUUUUUUUUUAUAAAAAAAAACUGUUCACUUUAGUGAACAGUGCGACAGUGGAGCAUGGCUUCACUGUUCACUGAACAUUGGUCAUUGGAAAAUCACCACGAAUGCUGCUUCUCCAAACCUGUGGCACGGCAGCAAAAAUUGGUAGGUUCUACGAAGAAAAAUCACUUUUUUUCUGUUACCAAACACUGAUAUAUGUGGCUGCGGGUGAACCUCACCCGUAAUCACAUUACCAAACAACGUCUAAGUCGUUCAAGUCAAAUCAAAACAAUUUUUAAUUAAUUAUUUUUUAAAAUUAAACCUGGACCAGGGGUUGAAUCAGCUUGAUUUACCAAUUAAAUCAAAUCGAGUUUAAUCAUUGUGAUUAAGAGUAUAUAGAUUUUUUUAAUUAUUUUUUCUCUGAUGUAGUCUAAAUUUCAAUAGAUGAUGCAAUCAAGUAUUUUUGAUCGACUUAGAUAUUCAAUAACAUAAAAAAAAUUAUAUAAAUUAUAUGUUUUUGUAUCUCAUCCAUCGGCACAAGUUUUUAUCAUGAUAUGAGAAAUUAAAUGAAGUAAAUGCUCUUUCAAAUUGUACCUUUUACUGUCAAGAAAGGAAAGAUUCAACAACAAUCAAGGGAAACCAGUUUUCAUUAAGAACAUUAUGAAGAAGAUGGUCAAACCCUGAAUUCAACAUCUCAGAAAGAUGCCAUGCUUCACACACACACAGACACAGACACAGACACACACACAAACUGCAGCAAGAGGAUACCAAUCCAAAGGCUUCCUUCCCAUAGGAGAUGUCUCACAUGCUGACAUAGAGAUCUCAAGACCAAAGAGUCUCCUGAUUCCGGCCUUCUGCUCUGCAUUAACCCUUGUUGGGAACCUGAUAUCAAACUUGAUUUUCAAAAUCCCUCUCUUUGUUGGGUCGCGGAGGAUCGGCAUCCCUUCAUUCGGGACAACCUUCUGAUAGUUGGGAUGGAUCACAUCAUUGAUCGGAAGGGUUAAAUUCCUGCCAUCUAAGGUAAUAAGAUGGACAGUGUAGCCUGUAAAGGCUUCAGUUACAGAAAUCCUUCGAGUGACGAUCAAGUCAUUUCCAUCACGAGUAAACUCAGAGUGGGGUUUUUCAUCAACAAUGAAGACAACAUCAGCAGGUGUUACAUUUGGUCUUUCGUUCCCUUUCUCUUCGAAAGUGAUCUCCGUGCCUUUCUUCCAACCAGGCUUUGUGUCAAUGGUUAGAAUCUCCUCUGUUUCCCUGGUCAAGCUGCGCUCCAUCCCACAAAAAAGAAAGAGCACAAGAAACACCAUUAACAAAGCUCUUGGACCUUUCAGAAGACAGUAAAAUGAUAAAAAAAAAAAAAAAAAUAACUAUCUCACACAAAUCGCUGACAACAGGAAAGCAUAUCAAGUCCAGGACCAGUUGAUCAGAGUCAACAUGUUUGAUCAAAACUACAGAAUGGCAGUUGAACAUAAAACGGGACCGAAAUGGUGAUGUUUAGGACACUUACCCCCUUUGAUCAGCUACUUGUCUAGUUAUUUUUACCCUCUUGGUAGCCCCUUGAUAAAGCUCUUCAAGACUACAAGACAGGGUGUGCUUAAUUGCAGGAUCUUUUCCAGGAGCACUACCCACGACACUUUCUUCAAAAGGCCUAACGAUACCAUCACCAUCUCUGUUAUUGGAGAACUCUGUUCCUUUCCUGUUUUGAUUUGGGCUAUUAAACCCGAAAGAUUCAGCAAGACGGUAAAAAUAACUUGAAAAGAUUCCUCUUUUGUUUUCAAAAGAUUCAUCAUCUGCUGCCCUACUAUGACUAGUCAUGUCGUUGAUAGAAGGUGGAUGAAAGAAAGGCACAGAGAACUGUUCUAGCCCAGUGUAAUGCAACUGCUCUACUUAUAGGAAAAGUAAUUGUCCUACGUAGCUAGCAUACUUCAAGUUGUGGAAAAAUUGAAGCAUAGUGUUUGGCUUACAGAUGAAGAAAACUUAGUCCCGUGCUGGAAAAUAGUUUUUUUUUUUUAAAUAAAUUUUGAAAAAGUAAAUUUCAAGAAAGUGAAUUAUUUUCUGAUGUUUGAUAGUGUAAUGAAAAAUAAGUUAGAAACCACUUUUCAGUGUUUGGUUAUGUCAUUGAAAAUGAGCUGGGAAAUAACUUAUUAAUGUUUUAUUUUUUUCAAGUUUAUUAAAAUAAUAAGAAACAAAUCUUAUAAAUUAAAAAGUUGAUUGAGAAUGAAAUUAAAAAAAAUAUAUAAUUUCAUAAAUUAUCUCAAAUAAAAUAAAUAAUAAUAAAAAUAAUAGAGAUCAAAUCUAAAAAAUAAAAAAAUUAAAAGAUGAAGAAAUUAAAAUAAUAAUAAUUAACAUUUGAUAAAUUAUUUCAAAUAAAAUAAGUAAUAAUCAAAAGAAUGAGGACCAAAUUUGAUAGAUAAAAAAUUUCAAUUAAAAAAUGAUAAGGGAAAAGCAAAUAACAAUUAUAAAAAUAAAGACCAAAGUUAAUAUAAAAAUUAAAUUCUAAGGGAUGAAAUUGAAAAACAAAUAUUCAAAAUAAAAUAUAUAUAGCAAUCAAAAGUUUGAGAAUCAAAUUUGAUAUAAUCAGCAAAUAAUAUGAUAUUUCUAAAUUUUUCACAACUUCCAGAUAGUGUUGUCCGUCCAAAAUAGGCCCCGUUUGUUUGCUGGAAAGUAGUUUUCUUUUGGAAAGUAAAUUCCGGGAAAGUGAAUUAUUUUCUGAUGUUUGGUAGUGUAAUGAAAAAUAAGUUGGAAAACACUUUCCAGUGUUUGGUUAUGUCAUUGAAAAUGAGCUGGGAAAUAACUUAUUAAUGUUUUAUUUUUCUCAUGUUUAUUAAAAUAAUGAGGAACAAAUCUGAUAAAUUAAAAAGUUGAAUGAGAAUGAAAUUGAAAAAAAAUAUAAUUUCAUAAAUUAUCUCAAAUAAAAUAAAUAAUAAUCAAAAUAAUAGAGAUCAAAUCUAAAAAAUAAAAAAAAUAAAAGAUGAAGAAAUUAAAAUAAUAAUAAUUAACAUUUCAAAAAUUAUUUCAAAUAAAAUAAGUAACAAUCAAUAGAAUGAGGACCAAAUUUGAUAGAUAAAAAAUUUCAAUAAAAAAAUGAUAAGGGAAAGGCAAAUAAUAAUUAUAAAAAUGAAGAUCAAAUUUAAUAUAAAAAUUAAAUUUUAAGAGAUGAAAUUGAAAAAUAAAUUUUCAAAACAAAAUAUAUAUAACAAUUAAAAGCUUGAGGACCAAAUUUGAUACAAUCAGUAAAUUAUAUGACAUUUUUAAUUUUUUCACAACUUCCGGAAAGUGUUUUCUGCCCAAAUUUUUCAGGAAAACACUUUCCUGGAAACAAGCCAAAUUUUCUUUUUGACUGAAAAAUGUUUUCCGUUGACCAACUUUCUUAAUGACAAACAAACACAGAAAAGUUUGGAAAGUAGUUUCCGGGAAACAAACAUAGCCUAAAAGGAAAACAUUUUCUUGGAAACCAAGCCAAAUUUUCCUUUGACUGAAAAGUGUUUUCCGUUGACCGAAAGGUGUUUUUCGUUUACCAACUUUUCUAACGGCAAACAAACACAAGAAAGUUUGGAAAGUGGUUUUCCGGAAAUCAUUUUUCGGGAAACAAACGCAGCCUUAAUGACUAAGCUGUUAAAAAAAUAGGAAAUAUAGAAGGUCACAAAAAUUAAAUACUUUGAUUUAUAUUUGUUUUUUAAUUUUUUUUAAUUUUAAUUUAGUUAUUGUUAAUAUUUUUUUAUUAAGAUAUAUAAUUUUUAAUUUAUUUAAUUAUAUAUUUGAAUAGGCUUUUUAAUUUACAUUUAAUCUUUUUUAUGUAUAAAAAUACAAUAAAAAAACUUUGCUAUACAAUUUUUUUAUGUUGUUGUUCCACUAUUUUCCAUAUUUUUGGGGAAUAAUUUCAUGAAGAGGCGUGACUGUGAAUGAAUUACAAGGCAAAACUCAGAAUUCUAUGGGGGCGAUGAUAAAUAUUUGUGUACUGGAAUGUCAGGAAUAUAAAUGCUCUUUACUUCUUCCUUCAGGUUGAGAAAAGGGUGGUUUUUGUCUGUCAUUAUGCCAUUUUUUUAUAGUUAUGGAUUAAAAAAAAGUAAACUUUUUUUAAAAGUAUUUUUUUAUUAUAAUUUAAAAAACAUAGGUUUUUAAAAAAUACAUGUUUAAUUAAUAUUAUUGUUGAGAAUUUAUAUAUGAAAAGCAUAUAUUCAUAAAUAAAAAUAGUAUUUGACAUUGUGCUAGCGAUUAUUUUUUAAAGUAUUUUUUAUUUAAAAAUAUAUUAAAAUAAUAUUUUUUUUAUUUUUAAAAAUUUAUUUUUAAUACCAACAUAUUAAAAUAAUUUAUAAACACAAAAAAAAUAAUUUUUUUAAAAGAGAGUCAUGGCCGCGUAAACAAAUCACCCCAAAAAACAGGUUAUUUUAUCUUAUAUACAACUAAGGUUUGAAAUGCAGUUGUAUAUGGGUCCAAUACAAAAAAACAAAAGUUAUAUAGCUAGCUUAAUGGUUUUUUCUCUAUGGUUAAGCAAAAAAACAGAAGCUAUUACAAUAUCAAACGGUUUCUAAGUGCGUUUUUGAUAUUGUAAUAUUGUAAUGCAAGAUGCUUUUCAAAAAUAUUUUUCACUUGAAAAUACUUUAAUUUUUUUUAGCAAUAGUUCAUCAAAACCAUUAGAAAGUACUAAAAAAAUCAAUUUUAUGUUUUUUCAAGUUAAAAAUGCUUUUAAAACACACUCAAAUGCAGCUUCAAACACAAAAACAAGUAGACAAUAAAUGUUGUUUGAGAUUAUGGUAAAAAUUGUGUUUUAAAAUAAUUUUUAUUUAAAAAUAUAUUAAAAUAAUAUUUUUUUAUUUUAGAUGUUAGCACAUUAAAACGUUUAAAAAAAUAUUAAAUUUUUUUUUUUAAAAAAAAUAAAAACAAUUACCGUUCAACCACCACACCAAAUAAACACUAAGUUGUGUAACCUAAUUUUAUGUUACUUUGGACUGAAGGAAGUAACAGUGAAUCAAUGUAACAUUUAGUCACUAAAUACAUGCUAACAAAAGCAAAUAAGCUAAGUAUGCUUGAUCUCCAAAAAGUAAAAAUUAAGAAUUACUGAUCUAGCUAAGUAUGCAUCUUACAGAAUCACCAUGGUUUUGUAAUAGCACGUUUCUUGUUCUUGAAAGGGGAAAUAAAGAAAAAAGAAUGGUUAGCACAGCUGAUUUUAAUCAUGUCGUCUUCUUGUAGGAAUCCACUCAUAUAUAUUCACCAUCUUUGCAUAAAGUUGAUGGCACACUGUUCUGAACUAAAGAGAAAGAAAACAAGGAUGCACCCCAAAUCAACAAGAGCUAAUUUUAAUUGAAAUUGUAACUGAUAAAUUCUUCAGUACACCUUUAAGCACAUCGAUGUAUUUAGAAAGAUGGCAUUCUUGCUCUGAAACUGAAAACUAAUAAAAACUGGGAGCGUAUAUAACAAGUUCUGUAUCAAAAAGAACCAAUCUAAAUACUACGUUCUAUGUAAUUUGUAUUUACAAAACUGCUCCAUUUCUAUGGAGAUGUGUUGUGCAUUAAAUAUUGGCAUUGAUGUUCUCAGCCCAAGAGUUUUUUGAUUCCUGCCUUCUGCUCUGCAGUUAACCUUGUUGGAAACUUGAUGUUGAACUUGAUCCUCAGAUUUCCUCUCUUUGUUGGGUCCUUUUGGAUUGGCAUCCCUUCCCUUGGGACAACCUCCUCAUAGUUUGGAUCAAUCACGGUGUUGAUCGGAAUGGUCAAAUUCCUUCCAUCUAAGGUGGUGAGAUGGACAGUGUAACCUGUCAAGGCUUCAGCUAAGGGAAUCUUCUGUGUGACAAUCAAGUCGUUUCCAUCACGAGUGAACACAGGGUGAGGUUUUUCAACUUGCAAUAUCUUGUAGUAAUCCACUCCCAUUGCGUUGCUGCUGCCUCCUCCUCCUCCUCCUCCUCCUCCUCUCUUUCUCUUCUUCACUUUGCUUAUCUUGGUUUUUCUACUUCAAAAAAAUCCUGGGGUGCUUUGCUCGCUCGCUUUUGUUAUGUUAAUUUACGGUAAUGUGAUGAUGGUGGAGGUAGAGUAGUAAUAUUUGGGGGUUUGUGGUGUUUAGGAUUUGGGUUAAUGCUAAAAAUUUGCACCUCUAUUCUUUAUUGUAACUUGCUUUGUGUUGCUGUUAAAUCCAUCCUUAUACUUUUAAUCUUUCUCUAGUUUGGUCCUUUUGCUUAUGGUUGGGUCAAUACCCUUGAAUCGAAUUGAUUAUCUUUUGUUGUAUUUAGGGCCAAGUUACUAAAUUCAGCUUUGCCUAGGGCUAAGUGACGGAUUGAGUAUGUUAAUUUGAUCAAUUUAAAACAAAGUUUUUUUAAAGAUUUUUUUUAAAUCAAACCAAAUUUUAAUUAGAAUUAAUCUAUCAAGUCAUUUAAGUCAAAUCAAAUAAAUUUUUAUUUGAUUAUUUUUUAAAAUUAGACUUGAACUAGAAUUGAAUCAGCUUGAUUAACCUAUUAAAUCAAACCAAGUUUAAUCAUUGUAAUUCAAGAGUAUAUAGAUUGUUUUAACUAAUUUUUCUUUGAUGUAGUCUAAAUUUCAAUAGAUCAUGCAAUCAAGUAUUUUUUGAUCGACUCUCAGAUAUUCAAUAACAUAAAAAAAAAAUUAUAAAUUAUAUAUUUUUGAAUCUCAUCCAUCGGCACAAGUUUUUAUCAUGAUAUGAGAAAUUAAAUGAAGUAAAUGCUCUUUCAAAUUGUACCUUUUACUGUCAAGAAAGGAAAGAUUCAACAACAAUCAAGGGAAACCAGUUUUCAUUAAGAACAUUAUGAAGAAGAUGGUCAAACCCUGCAUUAAAACAUCUCAGAAAGAUGCCAUACUUCACACAGACACACACAAACACAAACACAAACUGCAGCAAGAGGAUACCAAUCCAAAGGAUCCCUUCCCAUAGGAGAUGUCUCACAUGCUGAUAUAGAGAUAUCAAGGACCAAAGAGUCUCCUGAUUCCUGCCUUCUGCUCUGCAUUAACCCUUGUUGGGAACCUGAUAUCAAACUUGAUUUUC